rnacentral:miRNA from 1 species
GCAGACACAUCCCAACCAAUCAGCAGCAGACCCUCCCUCCCAGACCCUCCCACCUCCUUGACAUCUCACUAAGAAUACAGCUUCACAAUGAAUGUAAAAUGGAUGCUGUCCAGGAGGUGGGAGGGUCUGGGAGGGAGGGUCUGCUGCUGAUUGGCUGGAAUGUGUCUG